rnacentral:lncRNA from 1 species
AGUCCUUCGCCGUCCCUCGCCGUCCUUCGCCAUCGCACGCCACCGCACCCCAUCUCUCGAAAUCUGCAGACAUCUUGAUUUUUCCCACGCUGUCUGUCAGGUCUCCGCCGCCACUCGACGCCAGGGCGCCGGGUGAGUCCACAGCAGGGCGCAUGGUCGGCUCCACUCUCACCAUCGGGGGAAACUGAGGCCCCGGGGAAGGCGGCCAGAGAGGUCAGGCCCUGUCCUUGGUGCAGUGUCUCGUCCUCUUUGCCGGAGUGAGCCCCCCAGGAUUCGCGUGUCCUCGGGAAAGACACUGGCAGGCCUUGUGGGCUGUGCUGCACCUCGGACGGCUUCGCACCAGCCAGCGCCCUCUCUCUCCUGCAGCACUCUGAUCUGCACCCCCUGAGGGGCUUCCACUGUCCGCGGGGUGAGAAUGCCCCUGGGAGUGUCACAUGACUGCCGCCCCAUGUGUGUGAGAGGCGUCCUCUGGGAGAGCAUGGAUCCUGAGGUCCCAGGAUUGUCAGCUGACCUCUGUCCUGUGUGCCCAGUGGCCCCAGGUGACGUGUCUUCAAGAAGAGGCUGAGCUGCGGUGCUUGUAAGAGUCAUGUGCUGUUCCUGGGGCUUGGAUGAUGUAGGGGAAGCAAGGUGAAAGUGGUAUCCCGUGGUUCCACGUUCUGUCCUGCUGUGGGGCUGUCCCUCACAUGCUUUCAGUGGCUGUUGCAGAGGAAGAGCCUCCGGAAAUCUGCGUCUCAGCCUUAGAUCCAAGGACAGUCCAAGGAAGUCCUAAGACCAUGGAGUUGGUGAUCUGGGAUCUGGGUUUGCUGAUAUUUCUCACCGUGAAUCUCUUGGUGGUGUUUGUGGGCACGAGAGGGGCAGAGAAUGGAGAGUGAGGCUACCACAUGAAGCGUCACCAGAGCUGCUCCCUGCUGCCUGCUCAGAGCACCCCGGAUCCACUGUUCAAUCUGCACAAGAUUCGGGGUCCAGACAUGGGAGACUUCAGCUGCCUCAGAGGACCGUGGACAGGGAAGGCCAGCCUCGCAUCCCUCUGUCCAUGCCUGGAAUGACUUUAAUAACCAAGAGUUUUAUUUUUGAAUUUGUAGCUGUCGUUCACUUUUUACCCACCCAUUCAAUAAACCUUACAGAAUUGCUCCA